rnacentral:rRNA from 1 species
AGAGUUUGAUCAUGGCUCAGAUUGAACGCUGGCGGCAGGCCUAACACAUGCAAGUCGAGCGGUAGCACAGAGAGCUUGCUCUCGGGUGACGAGCGGCGGACGGGUGAGUAAUGUCUGGGAAACUGCCUGAUGGAGGGGGAUAACUACUGGAAACGGUAGCUAAUACCGCAUAAUGUCGCAAGACCAAAGUGGGGGACCUUCGGGCCUCAUGCCAUCAGAUGUGCCCAGAUGGGAUUAGCUAGUAGGUGGGGUAACGGCUCACCUAGGCGACGAUCCCUAGCUGGUCUGAGAGGAUGACCAGCCACACUGGAACUGAGACACGGUCCAGACUCCUACGGGAGGCAGCAGUGGGGAAUAUUGCACAAUGGGCGCAAGCCUGAUGCAGCCAUGCCGCGUGUGUGAAGAAGGCCUUCGGGUUGUAAAGCACUUUCAGCGGGGAGGAAGGCGNCGAUUGACGUUACCCGCAGAAGAAGCACCGGCUAACUCCGUGCCAGCAGCCGCGGUAAUACGGAGGGUGCAAGCGUUAAUCGGAAUUACUGGGCGUAAAGCGCACGCAGGCGGUCUGUCAAGUCGGAUGUGAAAUCCCCGGGCUCAACCUGGGAACUGCAUUCGAAACUGGCAGGCUAGAGUCUUGUAGAGGGGGGUAGAAUUCCAGGUGUAGCGGUGAAAUGCGUAGAGAUCUGGAGGAAUACCGGUGGCGAAGGCGGCCCCCUGGACAAAGACUGACGCUCAGGUGCGAAAGCGUGGGGAGCAAACAGGAUUAGAUACCCUGGUAGUCCACGCCGUAAACGAUGUCGAUUUGGAGGUUGUGCCCUUGAGGCGUGGCUUCCGGAGCUAACGCGUUAAAUCGACCGCCUGGGGAGUACGGCCGCAAGGUUAAAACUCAAAUGAAUUGACGGGGGCCCGCACAAGCGGUGGAGCAUGUGGUUUAAUUCGAUGCAACGCGAAGAACCUUACCUGGUCUUGACAUCCACAGAACUUUCCAGAGAUGGAUUGGUGCCUUCGGGAACUGUGAGACAGGUGCUGCAUGGCUGUCGUCAGCUCGUGUUGUGAAAUGUUGGGUUAAGUCCCGCAACGAGCGCAACCCUUAUCCUUUGUUGCCAGCGGUCCGGCCGGGAACUCAAAGGAGACUGCCAGUGAUAAACUGGAGGAAGGUGGGGAUGACGUCAAGUCAUCAUGGCCCUUACGACCAGGGCUACACACGUGCUACAAUGGCAUAUACAAAGAGAAGCGACCUCGCGAGAGCAAGCGGACCUCAUAAAGUAUGUCGUAGUCCGGAUUGGAGUCUGCAACUCGACUCCAUGAAGUCGGAAUCGCUAGUAAUCGUAGAUCAGAAUGCUACGGUGAAUACGUUCCCGGGCCUUGUACACACCGCCCGUCACACCAUGGGAGUGGGUUGCAAAAGAAGUAGGUAGCUUAACCUUCGGGAGGGCGCUUACCACUUUGUGAUUCAUGACUGGGGUGAAGUCGUAACAAGGUAACCGUAGGGGAACCUGCGGUUGGAUCACCU